rnacentral:rRNA from 1 species
CCUACGGGAGACUGCAGUGAGGAAUAUUGGUCAAUGGCCGGAAGGCUGAACCAGCCAUGCCGCGUGAAGGUCAGUGCCCUAUGGGCGUUAAACUUCUUUUGUGCGGGAGCAAUAAUGGUCACGUGUGGCCAGACGAGAGUACCGUACGAAUAAGCAUCGGCUAACUCCGUGCCAGUAGCCGCGGUAAUACGGGGGAUGCAAGCGUUAUCCGGAUUUAUUGGGUUUAAAGGGUGCGUAGGCUGUGAGGUAAGUCAGCGGUGAAAUGCCCCCGCUCAACGGGGUGAAGUGCCAUUGAUACUGCCUGGCUGGAAUGCGGAUGCGGUGGGAGGAAUGUGUGGUGUAGCGGUGAAAUGCAUAGAUAUCACACAGAACACCGAUUGCGAAGGCGGCUUUCUGGCUCAUAACUGACGCUGAGGCGCGAAAGCGUGGGGAGCAAACAGGAUUAGAUACCCGAGUAGUC